GAAAUGCGAUAAGUAAUGUGAAUUGCAGAAUUCAGUGAAUCAUCGAAUCUUUGAACGCACAUUGCGCCCGCCAGUAUUCUGGCGGGCAUGCCUGUUCGAGCGUCAUUUCAACCAUCAAGCCCCGCGCUUGUGUUGGGGACCCGCGGCUGCCGCGGGCCCUGAAAGACAGUGGCGGUCUCGCUGUAGCACCGAGCGUAGUAACGUACACCUCGCUCCGGGCGCUGAGCGUGCUCCUGCCGUUAAAAACCCCCCUUUUUCAAGGUUGACCUCGGAUCAGGUAGGAAUACCCGCUGAACUUAA
rnacentral:misc_RNA from 1 species